UGCAGUCUAUCUACUGAUUUACAAUAUGCCUAGUCGCUCUAUUGAUGUAAAUGAUUGCCUUGCCUAACUGUUAAUGUGAUUUUAUUGUGUUUAGUACUAAGCUCCUUACCUGAUAACCGGCCUACUUUUUUGCACUGUACUCUAAUGUUGUAUUUUUACGUUUUUAACAUUAUCUAAUCUUUUUCUUCUGCUUCUCCUCUUGCAUAGCUAUCCCUUGAUUCUCCCUGAGUUGUUUGUCCUGAUUGGAAAUCUCAACUACCCCUACUUGGAUACUCUCUGACUGCUAUCCCUGGAAAGUACAGGACAGAGCCCUUCUAUUAUACCACUACCGCAAGCUUCCACGAAACUAUCCCUUGAUUCUCCCUGAGUUGUUUGUCCUGAUUGGAAAUCUCAACUACCCCUACUUGGAUACUCUCUGACUGCUAUCCCUGGAAAGUACAGGACAGAGCCCUUCUAUUAUACCACUACCGCAAGCUUCCACGAAACUAUCCCUUGAUUCUCCCUGAGUUGUUUGUCCUGAUUGGAAAUCUCAACUACCCCUACUUGGAUACUCUCUGACUGCUAUCCCUGGAAAGUACAGGACAGAGCCCUUCUAUUAUACCACUACCG